GUAGCUCAGUGGUAGGGCAUCUGCUUUGCAUGGAUAUGGUCCCAAGUUCAAGCCCUGGCAUCUCCA